CCUGACGCAGCGACGCCGCGUGAGUGAGGAAGGCCUUCGGGUCGUAAAGCUCUGUCAAGAGGAAAGAAGUGCAUAAUGGUUAAUACCUGUUAUGUUUGACGGUACCUCUAAAGGAAGCACCGGCUAACUCCGUGCCAGCAGCCGCGGUAAUACGGAGGGUGCAAGCGUUGUUCGGAAUCACUGGGCGUAAAGGGCGCGCAGGCGGUAUGGUAAGUCAGAUGUGAAAGCCCACGGCUUAACCGUGGAAGGGCAUUUGAAACUGCCAGACUUGAGUACCAGAGGGGAAAGUGGAAUUCCCGGUGUAGAGGUGAAAUUCGUAGAUAUCGGGAGGAAUACCGGUGGCGAAGGCGACUUUCUGGCUGAGUACUGACGCUGAGGCGCGAAAGCGUGGGGAGCAAACAGGAUUAGAUACCCUGGUAGUCCACGCCGUAAACGAUGUCAACUAGAUGCAGGGGGUGUUGAUCCCCUCUGUGUCGCAGCUAACGCAUUAAGUUGACCGCCUGGGGAGUACGGUCGCAAGAUUAAAACUCAAAGGAAUUGACGG
rnacentral:rRNA from 1 species